UUUACAGUUGACACUAUGCAUUGGGGCAAGUAGCAUUCUCCUGGUAUCCUCUAAACCCACAUUUGUCCAUCGAGCUGCCAGAUGGUGAAGCUUGCGUCAACACUCCAGAGAACGUGUUUCCACUGCUACAGAAACCAAUGGCGGUGAGCAAUACACCACUCCAACCAACGACUUGGCAUUGUGCAUGGUGAUCUUAGGCUUGUGUGCGGCUGCUUGGCCAUGGAAACCCAUUUCAUGAAGCUCCUCAUUCAAACGGUUCUUCUGCUGAAGUUGCUUCCAGAGGCCGUUUGGAACUCGGUAGUGAGUGCUGCAAUUGAGGAGAGACAAUCUUUACGCGCUAUGAGCUUCAGUACUCGCCGAUCCCGUUCUUUGAGUUUAUGUGGCCUACCACUUCACAGUUGAGCCGUUGUUGCUCCUAGAUGUUUCCACUUCACAAUAACAGCACUUGCAGUUGACCAGGGCAGCUCUAGCAUGGCAGAAAUUUGAACUGACUUGUUGAAAAGGUGGCAUCCUAUGACAGUGCCACGUUGAAAGUCACUGAGCUCUUCUACUGCCACUGCAUGUCUAUGGAGAUUGCAUGGCUGUGGGCUAGAUUUUAUACACUUGUCAGCAACGGUUGUGGCUGAAAGCUGAAUCCACUCAUUUGAAGAGGUGUCCACAUACUUUUGUAUAUAUAGUGUAGAUGUAUGUGUUUGUUUCUGUUCAGUAGAAGAAAUGUGUGUGUUCUUCCAUCACAUCGAGAGAGAUAGAGAGCACGCGAGCGAGAGGGAGAGAGAGAUAGAGAGCAAAUGAGCCAGAGACAGAGCUCUCUUGGCAUCCGCUGUCGAGUCCGUUCGCGGCAGAGAAUAGCGGUCUUAUGGGACAGAGAUGGGAGAGGUGUGCCGUUUCUUUAUCAGCCUAUGACACUGACACAGUGGCCAGGAUGGAUCUAACCACCCGGAAAAUGAUGCUUCUGAUCGGUCUCAGCUGCCUCUGGCUCCAAGUGCUUUCAGAGGUGGUAGCUGAUGACAGUUAUUUAAACGAGGUGCAAAACACAGGUAGGCUAACAGUCACCUCUCAAAUCUUCUUCCUGUUCCCUGAUCUAUUUCUUUGUGUUCUAUAAAAUGUGCCAUAUCUUCUUCCCCCACUCAUAUUCUCUCCAUUCCUACUCUCACUCCUCAUGUUCUUAUAACCUAUUUUCCCCUCCUCCUAUAUCCCCCAUCUCUAUUCUCUCUAUUCUCUCUCUCUCUCUCU
rnacentral:lncRNA from 13 species